rnacentral:pre_miRNA from 1 species
UAGGGUGCCCAACUGUCCUGGUUUGCCCAAGACUUUCCAGGACUUUUAGUUCUAAAACUAGGACAGUCCUGGGCAAACCAGGACAGUUGGUCAUCCUGUUCUUUC